ACUCCUACGGGAGGCAGCAGUGGGGAAUAUUGCACAAUGGGCGCAAGCCUGAUGCAGCAAUGCCGCGUGUGUGAAGAAGGCCUGCGGGUUGUAAAGCACUUUUAUCGGGAAAGAAACUCCUAAGGUUAAUACCCUUAGGCUUGACGGUACCUGAAGAAUAAGCACCGGCUAACUCAGUGCCAGCAGCCGCGGUAAU
rnacentral:rRNA from 1 species